rnacentral:rRNA from 1 species
AUUGAACGCUGGCGGCAUGCCUUACACAUGCAAGUCGAACGGCAGCACGGGGCAACCUGGUGGCGAGUGGCGAACGGGUGAGUAAUGCAUCGGAACGUACCUUUCAGUGGGGGAUAACGUAGCGAAGGUUACGCUAAUACCGCAUAUUCUGUGAGCAGGAAAGCAGGGGAUCGCAAGACCUUGCGCUGAUUGAGCGGCCGAUGUCAGAUUAGCUAGUUGGUGAGGUAAAGGCUCACCAAGGCGACGAUCUGUAGCGGGUCUGAGAGGAUGAUCCGCCACACUGGAACUGAGACACGGUCCAGACUCCUACGGGAGGCAGCAGUGGGGAAUUUUGGACAAUGGGGGCAACCCUGAUCCAGCCAUGCCGCGUGAGUGAAGAAGGCCUUCGGGUUGUAAAGCUCUUUCGGCCGGGAGGAAAUCGCACGGGCUAAUACCCUGUGUGGAUGACGGUACCGGAAUAAGAAGCACCGGCUAACUACGUGCCAGCCGCCGCGGUAAUAC